rnacentral:misc_RNA from 1 species
GAUGAAGAACGUAGCGAAAUGCGAUAAGUAAUGUGAAUUGCAGAAUUCAGUGAAUCAUCGAAUCUUUGAACGCACAUUGCGCCCCCUGGUAUUCCGGGGGGCAUGCCUGUCCGAGCGUCAUUACAACCCUCAAGCUCAGCUUGGUGUUGGGCCCCGCCGCCCCGGCGGGCCCUAAAGUCAGUGGCGGUGCCGUCCGGCUCCGAGCGUAGUAAUUCUUCUCGCUCUGGAGGUCCGGUCGUGUGCUCGCCAGCAACCCCCAAUUUCUUUCAGGUUGACCUCGGAUCAGGUAGGGAUACCCGCUGAACUUAAGCAUAUCAAUAAGCGGAGGA